rnacentral:pre_miRNA from 1 species
UUUUAAGUAUAAAUACAUCUCAUGCAAUAUUUGAGACAUAUUUAUACUAUAA